rnacentral:rRNA from 1 species
AACGAACGCUGGCGGCAUGCCUAACACAUGCAAGUCGAACGAGACCUUCGGGUCUAGUGGCGCACGGGUGCGUAACGCGUGGGAACCUGCCUUUAGGUUCGGAAUAACUCAGAGAAAUUUGAGCUAAUACCGGAUGAUGUCUUCGGACCAAAGAUUUAUCGCCUUUAGAUGGGCCCGCGUUGGAUUAGCUAGUUGGUGGGGUAAAGGCCUACCAAGGCGACGAUCCAUAGCUGGUCUGAGAGGAUGAUCAGCCACACUGGGACUGAGACACGGCCCAGACUCCUACGGGAGGCAGCAGUGGGGAAUAUUGGACAAUGGGCGAAAGCCUGAUCCAGCAAUGCCGCGUGAGCGAUGAAGGCCCUAGGGUUGUAAAGCUCUUUUACCCGAGAUGAUAAUGACAGUAUCGGGAGAAUAAGCUCCGGCUAACUCCGUG